rnacentral:rRNA from 1 species
UUGGAGGGCAAGUCUGGUGCCAGCAGCCGCGGUAAUUCCAGCUCCAAUAGCGUAUAUUAAAGUUGUUGCAGUUAAAAAGCUCGUAGUUGAAUUUCGGAAUCAGUAUGUUGGUCGUGCUUCGGUACGUACUGUCAUUACUGGUUUCUACCUUCUGAAGAACCUUGAUGUCAUUAAUUUGGUGUCUUGGGGAAUCAGGACUGUUACUUUGAAAAAAUUAGAGUGUUUAAAGCAAGCAUACGCUUGAAUACAUUAGCAUGGAAUAAUGAAAUAGGACGUUUGAUUCUAUUUUGUUGGUUUCUAGGAUCGACGUAAUGAUUAAUAGGGAUAGUUGGGGGCAUUAGUAUUCAAUUGUCAGAGGUGAAAUUCUUGGAUUUAUUGAAGACUAACUACUGCGAAAGCAUUUGCCGAGGAUGUUUUCAUUAAUCAAGAACGAAAGUUAGGGGAUCGAAGACGAUCAGAUACCGUCGUAGUCUUAACCAUAAACUAUGCCGACUAGGGAUCGGAUGAUGUUAUUUUUAAUGACUCAUUCGGCGCCUUACGGGAAAC